rnacentral:piRNA from 1 species
UGACCAAAGACAGGGCACAAGACCUUUU